rnacentral:rRNA from 1 species
UACGUAGGGGGCAAGCGUUGUCCGGAAUCAUUGGGCGUAAAGAGCGUGUAGGCGGCUCGAUAAGUCUGCUGUGAAAGUCCAGGGCUCAACCCUGGAAGGCCGGUGGAAACUGUCGGGCUAGAGUCCGGAAGAGGUGAGUGGAAUUCCUGGUGUAGCGGUGAAAUGCGCAGAUAUCAGGAGGAACACCAAUGGCGAAGGCAGCUCACUGGGACGGUAUUGACGCUGAGACGCGAAAGCGUGGGGAGCAAACAGG